rnacentral:rRNA from 1 species
CCUACGGGAGGCAGCAGUGAGGAAUAUUGGUCAAUGGACGCAAGUCUGAACCAGCCAUGCCGCGUGCAGGAAGACGGCUCUAUGAGUUGUAAACUGCUUUUGUACGAGGGUAAAUCCCGAUACGUGUAUCGGGUUGAAAGUAUCGUACGAAUAAGGAUCGGCUAACUCCGUGCCAGCAGCCGCGGUAAUACGGAGGAUUCAAGCGUUAUCCGGAUUUAUUGGGUUUAAAGGGUGCGUAGGCGGGUCGAUAAGUUAGAGGUGAAAGCCCGGGGCUCAACUCCGGCACUGCCUCUGAUACUGUCGGGCUAGAGUUUAGUUGCGGUAGGCGGAAUGUAUGGUGUAGCGGUGAAAUGCAUAGAGAUCAUACAGAACACCGAUUGCGAAGGCAGCUUACCAAACUACGACUGACGUUGAGGCACGAAAGCGUGGGGAGCAAACAGGAUUAGAUACCCUAGUAGUC